GGAAAAGAAACUAACAAGGAUUCCCCUAGUAACUGCGAGUGAAGCGGGAAAAGCUCAAAUUUAAAAUCUGGCGGUCUUUGGCCGUCCGAGUUGUAGUCUGGAGAAGUGCUUUCCGCGCUGGACCGUGUACAAGUCUCUUGGAACAGAGCGUCAUAGAGGGUGAGAAUCCCGUCUUUGACACGGACUACCAGUGCUUUGUGAUGCGCUCUCAAAGAGUCGAGUUGUUUGGGAAUGCAGCUCAAAAUGGGUGGUAAAUUCCAUCUAAAGCUAAAUAUUGGCGAGAGACCGAUAGCGAACAAGUACCGUGAGGGAAAGAUGAAAAGCACUUUGGAAAGAGAGUUAAACAGUACGUGAAAUUGCUGAAAGGGAAACGCUUGAAGUCAGUCGCGUUGGCCAGGACUCAGCCUUGCUUUUUGCUUGGUGCAUUUUCUGGUUGACGGGCCAGCAUCGAUUUUGACCACUGGAAAAAGGCUAGGGGAAUGUGGCACCUUCGGGUGUGUUAUAGCCCUUAGUCACAUACAGUGGUUGGGAUCGAGGACCGCAGCACGCCUUUAUGGCCGGGGUUCGCCCACGUUCGUGCUUAGGAUGCUGGCGUAAUGGCUUUAAACGACCCGUCUUGAAACACGGACCAAGGAGUCUAACAUGCCUGCGAGUGUUUGGGUGGAAAACCCGAGCGCGUAAUGAAAGUGAAAGUUGAGAUCCCUGUCGUGGGGAGCAUCGACGCCCGGACCUGAACUUCGGUGAUGGAUCUGCGGUAGAGCAUGUAUGUUGGGACCCGAAAGAUGGUGAACUAUGCCUGAAUAGGGUGAAGCCAGAGGAAACUCUGGUGGAGGCUCGUAGCGAUUCUGACGUGCAAAUCGAUCGUCAAAUUUGGGUAUAGGGGCGAAAGACUAAUCGAACC
rnacentral:rRNA from 1 species